UGCCUUUAUGUGUUGCCCUUUCAUCGCUCUCCUGGUGACCAGGGUGUCAAUUAAGGCAUACAUCGACACUUGUGACUGUUUGUCUGUGUAAUGAGUUUCAUGUGACUCUUUACACAAACAGUUGCCAGGACACAG